GGGCCCGCACAAGCAGUGGAGCAUGUGGUUUAAUUCGAAGCAACGCGAAGAACCUUACCAGCCCUUGACAUCCCGGUCGCGACUUUCAGAGAUGAUCGUCUUCAGUUCGGCUGGACCGGUGACAGGUGCUGCAUGGCUGUCGUCAGCUCGUGUCGUGAGAUGUUGGGUUAAGUCCCGCAACGAGCGCAACCCUCGCCCCUAGUUGCCAUCAUUCAGUUGGGCACUCUAUGGGGACUGCCGGUGAUAAGCCGGAGGAAGGUGGGGAUGACGUCAAGUCUUCAUGGCCCUUACGGGCUGGGCUACACACGUGCUACAAUGGCGGUGACAGAGGGCAGCUACACAGCGAUGUGAUGCUAAUCCCUAAAAGCCGUCUCAGUUCGGAUUGCACUCUGCAACUCGAGUGCAUGAAGUCGGAAUUGCUAGUAAUCGUAGAUCAGCACGCUACGGUGAAUACGUUCCCGGGCCUU
rnacentral:rRNA from 1 species